rnacentral:tRNA from 1 species
GGUGAGGUAGCUCAGUUGGUAGAGCAGCGGGGUCAUAAUCCGCAGGUCCCUGGUUCAAUCCCAGGCCUCACCACCA